rnacentral:rRNA from 1 species
CAGUGGGAGCACGCUUAGGCGUGUGACUGCGUACCUUUUGUAUAAUGGGUCAGCGACUUAUAUUCUGUAGCAAGGUUAACCGAAUAGGGGAGCCGAAGGGAAACCGAGUCUUAACUGGGCGUUAAGUUGCAGGGUAUAGACCCGAAACCCGGUGAUCUAGCCAUGGGCAGGUUGAAGGUUGGGUAACACUAACUGGAGGACCGAACCGACUAAUGUUGAAAAAUUAGCGGAUGACUUGUGGCUGGGGGUGAAAGGCCAAUCAAACCGGGAGAUAGCUGGUUCUCCCCGAAAGCUAUUUAGGUAGCGCCUCGUGAAUUCAUCUCCGGGGGUAGAGCACUGUUUCGGCAAGGGGGUCAUCCCGACUUACCAACCCGAUGCAAACUGCGAAUACCGGAGAAUGUUAUCACGGGAGACACACGGCGGGUGCUAACGUCCGUCGUGAAGAGGGAAACAACCCAGACCGCCAGCUAAGGUCCCAAAGUCAUGGUUAAGUGGGAAACGAUGUGGGAAGGCCCAGACAGCCAGGAUGUUGGCUUAGAAGCAGCCAUCAUUUAAAGAAAGCGUAAUAGCUCACUGGUCGAGUCGGCCUGCGCGGAAGAUGUAACGGGGCUAAACCAUGCACCGAAGCUGCGGCAGCGACGCUGAUGCGUUGUUGGGUAGGGGAGCGUUCUGUAAGCCUG